rnacentral:rRNA from 1 species
GGAUUGGUGCCUUCGGGAMCYYUGACACAGGUGCUGCAUGGCUGUCGUCAGCUCGUGUCGKGAGAUGUUGGGUUAAGUCCCGUAACGAGCGCAACCCUUGUCCUUAGUUACCAGCACGUUAUGGUGGGCACUCUAAGGAGACUGCCGGUGACAAACCGGAGGARGGKGGGGAUGACGUCAAGUCAUCAUGGCCCUUACGGCCUGGGCUACACACGUGCUACAAUGGUCGGUACAGAGGGUUGCCAAGCCGCGAGGUGGAKCUAAUCUCACAAAACCGAUCGUAGUCCGGAUCGCAGUCUGCAACUCGACUGCGUGAAGUCGGAAUCGCUAGUAAUCGCRAAUCARAAUGUCSCGGUG